rnacentral:rRNA from 1 species
ACUAAGCCCGGGCCAGCGGCGGCGGGAAGACGGAUGUGGCAGUGGUUAAACGGAAUUAGUGGGCGUAAAGCAUGCGCAGUCGGCUUAUUAAGUCAGAUGUGAAAUCCCUAGGCUGAACCUAGGAACUGCAUUUGAAACUAAUAAACUAGAGUAUCGUAGAGGGAGGGAGAAUGCCAGGUGUAGCGGUGAAAUGCGUAGAUAUCUGGAGGAAUACCAGUGGCGAAGGCGACCUCCUGGACGAAAACUGACGCUCAAGCACGAAAGCAUGGGGAGCAAACAGGAUUAGAUACCCCAGUAGUC